AGGUUUCUGCCAAAAUUUUCGUCCAACUUUUUUUUGGACGGAUUUACCCUCCCACCAAAUCGCAUAAUACUGGAUUUGCUAUCAUACCGGUUCGGUCUUGUGUCUCUCCUCAUCCCUCGUCCGACCAGGAGGACUACCGGUUGACUUCUUCAUCUUCCCACCCCAAUAAAUCAUCAGCUCGACCCGGCGGAUCGAGUAGGGUUCUUCCACAACAGGUCGCCGCCCCUCGCUCUCCUGCCUUCGGCGAGAUUCUUUGUUCCCCUCGCCAUGGCGCUGGUUUGUCUCCGUCCGCCGGUACUCUGGUUGCGCCCAAUAUCACCGCACCACGGUAAAUUGAGAGCCAUGGAUUUCUCGGCAUCAGAUCGAUCCAAGAUUGAUUUCGAAGAGAUCGAAAUCAAGAUCGAGUCUUCAAGAUAUCAGGCACGCGAAUUAGCGAUUCAACACGCAUCAAGCAAGGCAGUCUGAUUCGCGCAAGAGUGCCGCCGCCGCCGCGGCCAACGCUCUGAACGUGUUUUUCCGCUGCGCGCUUUGAGGAGGCCGCCGGGACUUCUGGCUCGCCGAAUCAAAGACACGCGCGCGUCUCGGUCUUCGAGGACUCCCUCGGCUCGCGGACGGAGGAAGGGUAAGGGAGGAGGAGCAGCAGUGUUGGGGGUGUAGUAGGGGAAAGGAAGAUAUGCCCGCGCCGGGAAGGAGAUGAGCUGGUGGCCGCAGUAGCGGCAUCGACACCGGCCUAGGGAAGUCUGUCCAGGACUCCCUCCCUAGCGCCACUGAACUCUAUCUCCUAGUAGGGAUGUCUAACGACAGAUGAGGUCUUUUGGCAUUGGAAAAUCAGCAGUAUACGAGAGGCAAAUUCCUACACAAACUCUGCUUCGAGACGUACUAUUGUACUAUACACGAACACACGGCCAUGGGGCUGCAAGCAAGAUGGGUGCCUGCUCCUCAACCUCGGCCACCUGCUACUUACCGAACGUGAGGGAUCUGAGGUGGGCUGACUCAAAAGAAGAGCACUGCAACAUGUGAAAACGAGUCAGACACUGUGUUUACCAUCAGGACUUCAGCAAGUUCAGGCUUAAUACAAAAUUUGCGGCCAGCGGCAGGGAUGAGUGCGCGCAACAGAGGCGGCAACGAGCGGCGAAACAUGCGUGCGUGCGGAGCUAGGAAGAAAUAGCAGGGUUCUACGCGUACGUAUACUUGCAAUCAGCUAGCUGAAUGGAUUCACUGUCGUGCCACGAAAUCGGAAGACACAACGGCGGUGAAGAAUUGGGGGAUAGAGAAGGGAAGAGAGGGGAUUAUGAGCUACUGAUUUCGACACAGUGUGACUAUUGUACUUGGUAAAAACUGUACACACUCUUAAUAUCUUUAAUCCAUUUCUUCAUUGCUUAUAUUUUUAUUUAA